UACGGAGGGGGCUAGCGUUGUUCGGAAUUACUGGGCGUAAAGCGCACGUAGGCGGCUUUGUAAGUUAGAGGUGAAAGCCCGGGGCUCAACUCCGGAAUUGCCUUUAAGACUGCAUCGCUCGAAUUGUGGAGAGGUAAGUGGAAUUCCGAGUGUAGAGGUGAAAUUCGUAGAUAUUGGGAGGAACACCAGUGGCGAAGGCGGCGACCUGGGCCAAUAUUGACGCUGAGGUGCGAAAGCGUGGGGAGCAAACAGG
rnacentral:rRNA from 1 species